rnacentral:lncRNA from 1 species
AGGAGUGACCCUCCGGGGAUUCUACCGACUUCCGACCUUCAGCGACAUCUCUCCGAACCUCUCUGGCGGCCAAGCCUCCGCAACACUCCCAAGUUUUGCCGAUGGAUAAGCCCCCACCAGAGUCGACUGGAUUCUUCGCGACGGACGGACUCCACCCAAAUUUCCACGACGAUCGACCACCUUCUGGACUCCAUCCGGACUCCUACGGGAGCCAAACUUCGUCCCCGGCUCCGGCUGCAGGAAGACUUCGUCCGGAUUCCUACGGGAGCCGGACUUCACCCCCGACUUCAGUCACAGGCAGACUUCAUCCGGACUCCUACGGGAGCCGAACUUCGCC